CAGGGGUUUAGGUUAUACUAAACCAGCGGCCUUCAAAGCCACAAAAAAAGAAACCUCUUUAAUCCCUG
rnacentral:tRNA from 1 species